UUUAUUAUAUUAAUGGCAGAAAAAUGCAUUAGAAUUAGAAUCUAAUUACGUAAAAAUUACAUUUACCUUAAUAAUAUUAAUUAUUACAUUAAGA
rnacentral:tRNA from 1 species